rnacentral:rRNA from 1 species
AGAAUCAACGCUGGCGGCGUGCCUAACACAUGCAAGUCGAACGCGAUUACCCCGCAAGGGGUGAUUGAGUGGCAAACGGGUGAGUAACGCGUGGGUGACCUACCUCUGAGUGGGGGAUAACGUUUCGAAAGGAACGCUAAUACCGCAUGACAUCCUGUUUUUGGACAGGCGGAGAUCAAAGCCGGGGAUCGCAAGACCUGGCGCUUGGAGAGGGGCCCGCGUCCGAUUAGCUAGUUGGUGAGGUAAUGGCUCACCAAGGCGACGAUCGGUA